AUACUUACCUGGCAGGGGCAAUACCAUGAUCACGAAGGUGGUUCACCCAGGACGAGGCUCUGCCAUUGCACUUGGGUGGUGCUGACUCCAAAUGUGGGAAUCUCAACUGUGGGGCAGUC
ensembl:snRNA U1 U1 spliceosomal RNA